rnacentral:rRNA from 1 species
UGCGCAGGUGGUUUUGUAAGUCAGAUGUGAAAGCCCCGGGCUCAACCUGGGAACUGCGUUUGAAACUACAAGACUAGAGUGUGGCAGAGGGGGGUGGAAUUCCGCGUGUAGCAGUGAAAUGCGUAGAGAUGUGGAGGAACACCGAUGGCGAAGGCAGCCACCUGGGUUAACACUGACGCUCAGGCACGAAAGCAUGGGGAGCAAACAGGAUUAGAUACCCUGGUAGUCC